GCAGAAGAAAUAUAACCGCGCCGCAAAUUGAUAAUGACAUCUUUUUGCGGUGAGGCAAAGUCCGGGCUCCGCCGGAAAAAAUGCCGGAUAACGACCGGGAGAAAAACGGAAGUUGCAAAUUUUCGCUUUUGCGAAAACUAACAUAACCCGUUCUUCUACAGACAGCGCAGCAGAAAACAAACCGCCCGGCCUUGGUCGGGUAAGGGUGAAAAGGCGGUGUAAGAGACCACCGGACGCUUGGCGACAAGCGCCGCAUUGCAAGCCUCAUUUGGAGCAAGGUCAAGAAGCGGCUGUUUUUCCGGGACAUAAGCCGCGGGUAGACCGCUAAAAUUUUUAGGCGACUAAAAAUUCGGAUAGAUGGUUAUGGCUUUGCCUUUUUUGGGCAAGGUUGCCAGAACCCGGCUUACGAUUUCUUCUGCUUUU
rnacentral:RNase_P_RNA from 1 species